rnacentral:rRNA from 1 species
GACGAACGCUGGCGGCGUGCCUAAUACAUGCAAGUCGAACGCUGAUUUUUUAACUGAUGCUUGCAUCGACCAAAAAAUCGGAGUGGCGAACGGGUGAGUAACACGUGAGUAACCUGUCCUUCACUCUGGGAUAAGCCCUGGAAACGGGGUCUAAUACUAGAUAUUCUCAAUGUGCCGCAUGGUGUGUUGUGGAAAGAUUUUUUGGUGAGGGUUGGACUCGCGGCCUAUCAGCUUGUUGGUGGGGUAGUGGCCUACCAAGGCUUUGACGGGUAGCCGGCCUGAGAGGGUGACCGGCCACACUGGGACUGAGACACGGCCCAGACUCCUACGGGAGGCAGCAGUAGGGAAUCUUCGGCAAUGGACGCAAGUCUGACCGAGCAACGCCGCGUGAGUGAAGAAGGUUUUCGGAUCGUAAAGCUCUGUUGUUAGAGAAGAACAAGUAAGAUAGUAACUGAUCUUGCCUUGACGGUAUCUAACCAGAAAGCCACGGCUAACUACGUGCCAGCAGC